GGUCAGGAUAACUCAGCCUGAUGUUCUUCUCACUUGGCAGGGAUUGUGCUGCAUUCUGACAUAGGUUCUGCCAUCAAACACAGAAUGCUCUGAUCCUUACAGGCAGAGGCAGCUCUUCAGCCUAUGAGACCUGAACUAGUUAUUUCCUGCUCGCCUCCUGGAAUGGCUAAUAAACAGUAAAGCUUUGCAGUUUCUGGGAAGACCAUGAAGCCCUGAGAGUAAUGAAAAGUUUCCUGAAAUUGAAGUCACUGUGGAAGAUGGGACCGUCUAGUUGCAGAAAAACAAGCUCAGGACUCCCACUGAUUCUACA